rnacentral:rRNA from 1 species
AUUGAACGCUGGCGGCAUGCUUUACACAUGCAAGUCGAACGGUAGAGGGGGCAACCCCUUGAGUGUGGCGAACGGGUGAGUAAUGCAUCGGAACGUGCCCAGUCGUGGGGGAUAACGCAGCGAAAGCUGUGCUAAUACCGCAUACGAUCUCUGGAUGAAAGCGGGGGACCGAAAGGCCUCGCGCGAUUGGAGCGGCCGAUGUCAGAUUAGGUAGUUGGUGGGGUAAAGGCCUACCAAGCCAACAAUCUGUAGCUGGUCUGAGAGGACGACCAGCCACAAUGGGACUGAGACACGGCCCAGACUCCUACGGGAGGCAGCAGUGGGGAAUUUUGGACAAUGGGCGCAAGCCGGAUCCAGCAAUGCCGCGUGCAGGAAGAAGGCCUUCGGGUUGUAAACUGCUUUUGUACGGAACGAAACGGUCUUGGUUAAUACCCUGGGCUAAUGACGGUACCGUAAGAAUAAGCACCGGCUAACUACGUGCCAGCCGCCGCAGUAA